AACGAACGCUGGCGGCAUGCCUAACACAUGCAAGUCGAACGAGACCUUCGGGUCUAGUGGCGCACGGGUGCGUAACGCGUGGGAACCUGCCUUUAGGUUCGGAAUAACUCAGAGAAAUUUGAGCUAAUACCGGAUGAUGUCUUCGGACCAAAGAUUUAUCGCCUUUAGAUGGGCCCGCGUUGGAUUAGCUAGUUGGUGGGGUAAAGGCCUACCAAGGCGACGAUCCAUAGCUGGUCUGAGAGGAUGAUCAGCCACACUGGGACUGAGACACGGCCCAGAACCCUACGGGAGGGAGCAGUGGGGAAAAUUGGAAAAUGGGGGAAAGGCUGAACCACCAAUGCCGGGUGAGUUAUGAAGGCCUUAGGGUUGUAAAGCUUUUUUACCCGAGAUGAUAAUGACAGUAGCGGGAGAAUAAGCUCCGGCUAACUCCGUG
rnacentral:rRNA from 1 species